rnacentral:lncRNA from 1 species
CUUAUUCUUUUCUUCUAUAGCCGAAUCUUUCUACUAUUUUUCUCAUCUCCACUUUCUAAUAAUUUGUUCUUAAGCCUUAUAUACAAAAGCUAAAAUCCCAAAAGUUGUUUCUUGUGUCGAUUUACUCUAGUCAAAAUCCUCUAUUUUCUUCAUCUCUUUUGGCUGAUUUUUCACAUCCUCUAAACCUUAACCCCUAUCGGCAAUACCAC